rnacentral:rRNA from 1 species
UGGGGAAUAUUGGACAAUGGGCGCAAGCCUGAUCCAGCCAUGCCGCGUGAGUGACGAAGGCCUUAGGGUUGUAAAGCUCUUUUUGGCGGGGAAGAUAAUGACGGUACCCGCAGAAUAAGCUCCGGCUAACUUCGUGCCAGCAGCCGCGGUAAUACGAAGGGAGCUAGCGUUGUUCGGAAUCACUGGGCGUAAAGCGCACGUAGGUGGGCAGUUAAGUCAGGGGUGAGAGCCCGAGGCUCAACCUCGGAAUUGCCUCUGAUACUGGCUGUCUAGAGUUCGAGAGAGGUGAGUGGAAUUCCUAGUGUAGAGGUGAAAUUCGUAGAUAUUAGGAAGAACACCGGUGGCGAAGGCGGCUCACUGGCUCGAUACUGACACUGAGGUGCGAAAGCGUGGGGAGCAAACAGGAUUAGAUACCCAAGUAGUCCCUGAGCGGGCUGGCAAGGCGCAU